GCACAAACCAACAAAAGACUUAAUCCAAGCCAGGAAUCCAGACACAGCUACAAAUAGAAUAAUUGAAGUUGAGAUUCCAGCAAAUAAUAAUUAAAAACAAAAGUCAAGUUCUCCCACAAAAUGUUGCUGCAACCAAGUAAUCUACUAGGACAGCUCAAAAGAUGCGAGUUGGCUUCCCCAUAGAGCUCUUCAGAUACAAGCACCUAACGUUUUGCCAAUUCUUCUUCAGCAGAGAGACUAGGAAGUUCACGCUGAGUUGCACAUUCUGGAAAAUCUGCUUCUCCUCCAUCCCACAGUUUCCAACAGCAACACCCAUGCACAGCACCUUCUUCAGUUGAAACUUCACCAUUGCUUUGGUUUCAUUCACUUUUGCCUCCAAUGAUUCCUGGUGAGUAACCAAUGUAGGAAACUUUCCUGCCUUGUUAAGACCAGGGCCCAAAAGUCGAGGAAUCUGCUUAAUAAUGGCCUCUGAUGCUAAGAAAGCAUGAUACUUCUUAGCAAGCUUCUUGACCAGUUUCUUGUUUUUGUUCAUCUUCUUAAGCCCUUCAACAUCCAUAUAGUCUAAUCCGAUUUUCUCUGCCUCCUCAACAUGCUGAGCAUCACCAAGCAUGCAGACCUUCAUCUUAGGCCUCGGAAUAUGGGGCAAUUUCACAGAUCCACUGAACCGCUUAUCUUUCUGCGGAUCAUAAUUUUUCAAACCAAUCUGAAGCUCA
rnacentral:misc_RNA from 1 species